UUCCUUCUGAUGAUCUCGAAGACUGGACGAGCACCGGGUUCCAGAAGAGCAUAGUAAAAGAAAGGACAGGAAAGAGGCCAUUGAUUACAGGAGAAAUCAACCUCACACUAAGAGAUGGAAGUGCUUCCAUCUCGGAUCUCACAUUUACCGACAAUUCGAGCUGGAUAAGAUGCAGGCACUUCAGGAUAGGUGCAAGAGUUGUGCCAGGGAGCUAUAAUGGACCAAGAAUCAAAGAAGCCAUGACCGUAGCUUUCAUGGUUAAAGAUCACCGAGGGGAACGUAAGCAUGCUAUAUAUCUUUGCCAGUACUUUUUAGUAUCUCAUCCAUGUCAUUUCAUUGAUUAAAUUUUCUUACAUGAGCUUUAAACUAUAAGGCGUACUUGGUUCCAAUUAGGAAAUAAGUUGUAAGAGGAGGAAACAGAAUCCUGUCGUGAUCAUCAUCACCACAGUCUAUCAAGAGAUGAUGAGCUUGUGGGCCUUUUCAAAGGCCCAUCUAAGUGGGUCUUGUUCAAAGCCUCGCCGCAUUAUUAAAGCACAUGGAAGACUCGAAGCCUACAAGAUGAUGCUUGUAGCCUUCUAAUCAACUUCUUUUUGCCAUGGUCCACCAUCCACUAGUUAGUGCUAAGGGGAUGCUUGGACUACCAAUUCGAAACUAACAUGGGAACAAGAAAGACAGUUGGACUUCCGAUUUGAAAAUAACAUGUGAACCACAAAGAUUUUCAUGGCCAUAUUUUCUAACAAAAAAAAACUUCAACAUCUAAAAACCGAGAAAUUGACCAGCUCAAUUAACAUCAUGUUCCUAUACAGUGUACAGGAAGCAUUAUCCACCAUCUCUCAACGACGAGGUAUGGCGACUAGAGAAGAUAGGAAAAGAUGGGGCAUUCCACAAGAAACUACAAGCUGAGAAUAUUAAGACGGUCCAGGACUUCUUGAAGCACUUGGUUAUCGACCCUGAUCAACUCCGCAAGGUAGAGCCACAACUUGAUCGCCAAAUAUACCCAAUGAGAAAAUGCUAUUUAGAUUUCCAUAUUAUCUAAUUUAUUCUUCUUGUUCCUAUGCAUCAGAUAUUGGGAGUUAAUAUGUCAGACCGGACAUGGGAGGGAAUAAUUAGUCAUGCCAGAACCUGCGACGUGGGUAAAAAGAUUUACUUCAGCCGUGGGCCCAGUUUUACCCUUCUCUUGAACUCCAUAUGUGAAGCUGUUGGAAUUAUGACUGAUGGCAUGAUGGUCCCGCUAAAUGAUCUCAGCAGAUCUCAGAAAGUAAGCAUUCAAAUCAUCACAAAUUCUUGUCCUCUGUUUUUUGAGUAAUAAAUUCUUGCUCUGUGUCGACAAUGCUUAACAUCUGUAUACCUGGAUUUUUUCUCAGACUUAUGUACAGCAGCUGGUCAGAGAGGCAUAUCAAAACGGGAUUGAGCUGCAAGAAGCUGAUGGAUUGCCCAAUCCUAACGUUCCUCUACUUCAAAGUUAGUAAACCAUUAGUAAAUUCAAUUAUCUUUGUUAAAGUUGUCCUCAUAUUUCUUCAAGUCCUAGUAGUUCUAACACUGAUGAUGUUUUGAUAGAUGAAUCAGUGCAUCAAGGUGGGAUGGAAUCAUUGCCAUGGAGUACUGUAAUCCAAGAAAGUGCUGCAUUCGAAUAUCAAAUUGGGGGUUUUGACGAGGCUGGAGCUCCUCCAAACAAUCUGCAAAUUGCAUUCAGUAGUCCUGCCCAAAAUCCAGCAGGCUUGAUGCCUCCAAUUCCAUGGAAUCAUGAUUAAAUGUCGGGUUGAUUGUUUGAUUGAGAAUGACAUGAGCUGUUGUUUAGCCUUCCUAAGUUGGCAGCUAAGCUACAAAGAGCCUGUCAGAUUAGUAGUUUUGAUGUACAUUAUAAAGGAUAUAACAAGUUGAAAUUAGGUUCCUGUCAGCUGCCCUGAUUGCUUGCAUACAAUAAAGGCAAUAUAAGCAAGUAACAAGAGGCGCUUUCUUCUUAUUUCUUUCCUUUCUUUUUUUUUUCCCCUUAUCUUUUCUUUCUUUGUUUUUUGGGUGGGUGUUGUAAAGGUCGGUGGGGUGGAUUGAUGUCCUGUACAAGUGUUAGGA
rnacentral:lncRNA from 1 species